UACGUAGGGGGCAAGCGUUGUCCGGAUUUAUUGGGCGUAAAGAGCGUGUAGGCGGCUUUACAGGUCCGUUGUGAAAACUCGAGGCUCAACCUCGAGACGCCGGUGGAAACCGUAAAGCUAGAGUCCGGAAGAGGAGAGUGGAAUUCCGUGGUGGUGAGCGGUGAAAUGCGCAGAGUAUCAGGAGGAACACCCGUGGCGAAGGCGGUUCUCUGGGCCUUACCUGACGCUGAGGAGCGAAAGCGUGGGGAGCGAACAGG
rnacentral:rRNA from 1 species